rnacentral:rRNA from 1 species
AAACCAGCACCUCAAGUGGUCAGGAGGUUUAUUGGGCCUAAAGCAUCCGUAGCCUGAUCUAUAAGUUUCCGGUUAAAUCCACAUGCUCAACAUUUGGGCUGCCGGAAAAACUGUAGAUCUAGGGAGUGGGAGAGGUAGACGGUACUCGGUAGGAAGGGGUAAAAUCCUUUGAUCUAUUGAUGACCACCAGUGGCGAAGGCGGUCUACCAGAACACGUUCGACGGUGAGGGAUGAAAGCUGGGGCAGCAAACCGGAUUAGAAACCCCGGUAGUCC